rnacentral:rRNA from 1 species
UACGUAGGUGGCAAGCGUUAUCCGGAAUUAUUGGGCGUAAAGCGCGCGUAGGCGGUUUUUUAAGUCUGAUGUGAAAGCCCACGGCUCAACCGUGGAGGGUCAUUGGAAACUGGAAAACUUGAGUGCAGAAGAGGAAAGUGGAAUUCCAUGUGUAGCGGUGAAAUGCGCAGAGAUAUGGAGGAACACCAGUGGCGAAGGCGACUUUCUGNGUCUGUAACUGACGCUGAUGUGCGAAAGCGUGGGGAUCAAACAGGAUUAGAUA